AUUAAACCUCUGUGCUCUAAUUUCAAUAUUAAGCUAACAAAUUAUCGUCCAUAGUUCAAUCAGGUAAGUGCCCUUUUUCUUUAUCUUUCAGUUUUUGGUUUUAUUUGGGGUAGUAAUUAAUGACGGUGUAUCUAAAUUUCCUCUUUUGUUUUUGUUCCAGGAUUUUUAUUUAGAGCUAUUUAUCUUUAGAUCUGUGCUUUGCUGUUGGAGAAUCAAGAAUGUCUCGCGGGAACCAGAGAGAUCGAGAUCGUGAAAGGGCACAAGCCAGGGGAAAUCACAAGUCCAAGACACCUAAAAAUGAUGGAUUAACUCCUGAACAACGAAGAGAAAGGGAUGCAAAGGCACUUCAAGAGAAGGCGAAAAAGAAAGCAGCACAGGCGGAAGAUGGAUGGAAUAUCAACAAAUCGGAAAGCCAUAACAUCAAGAAGAAAUAGAUUCAUGACGAGUUUCAUGGAACUUUUUAUCCUCAGUAAUUCUGGCAUGUAUUGUUUGGCUUUUGUACCUUUGAUUUGUGUCUUCAUCUGCAAUGAAAUUUACUCACUCUUCACAUUGUUGGAAAGAAAUAUAUAUUGAUCAAAGAAAUUUGAAUUGGCUAAGUGCUAAUAUAGUUAUAUUAAAUGAUCUAUGAAUCAAGUGAAGAUACUAAAAUAGCUACCAGAUUAUAAUUUCUAUCAAGGUAAAUAGUUUGAGGUGCGGAUAAGGCGAC
rnacentral:lncRNA from 1 species